CCUUACUUGAUCAGACUAACUCACUACCAGCCAAUUUGAAAAACUUUAAAAAGUCAUAGUUACAAUCACAAUGAGAACUCAGUCUUUUUUUCUGAUUGUCCUUGUUGUUAUUUUUUCCUGUGCGUCCUUGAAUCAUGCUACCUUCCUCAACCUCAAUGAUCCAUUAGUUAAUGAGUUUGGCAACUUUGCUGUAAACGAGUACAACAAGCAAGGUAAUAAGCUGAAAUUCGAGAAGGUCGUAAAUGGUGUAUCUGAAACAACAUCCCAAGGGACCAACUACCGCAUCACGCUUUCUGCAUCAGAUGGUUCAACCUCUAAAAAUUAUGCAGCCAUUGUAUUGGAUAAUCCAAUACAACAUGUUAGAAAACUGAUGAACUUUGCACCUAUUAAAGCCUAAAUCAUUAAAGUAGUUUAUUUUAUAAAAUCAUUUAUCUUUAGUCUUCAAAUUAGUGUACCAAUAAAAUGUAUGUUUUGUAUAUCAGUAAUUGAUUAUUGAUCUAAAUAAAUUAUCAAUUUAAAUUA